rnacentral:tRNA from 1 species
GCCGAAAUAGCUCAGUUGGGAGAGCGUUAGACUGAAAAUCUAGAGGUCCCUGGUUCGAUCCCGAGUUUCGGCA